UAAAUGAAAUUGGGCUUAAAUAGUAUUAAUAAUAUUUGGACUUUCUGCUAUCGAGUUUUUAACACUUGAAUGAAAAUUUGUAGGGUUAAGAUGAUAGCGGUCCCCUAGGGUUUAGUGGUGGUCCGAUAGGGUUGAAUAGGUGUUUGGUUGAAUAAUAUAAUCUAAAAGGUGGAGUUGAUUACAUUGUAGAUCUAACUACUAAAAAAUCGAUAGCAAAAAGAGUCCAAAUAAUAUUAAUAGUAUUCUAGCUCAAUUCUCUCUCUCUAUAGAUAUACAUAUAUUAGAGCUACUAUGCUUUUUGAAGUAUAAGAGAGUUUGUGCUUCCUACUUUUUAGCCUUUCGAUCAACCCUUUAAUCAUUUUUGACAUUUGGAUUAAUAUUAUUACCAUAGGGGUACCACUUAACUAUAUGAGAGGGGAACCACUAUCAUCUCGACCCUAUAAUCCUUGAUCAAAAUGCCAAAAAGUCGGAAGCAUCAUCUCUCUUAUACUUCAAAAGUAUAAUAGCUCUACACUAUAUAUAUAUAUAUAUAUAUAUAUAUAUAUAUAUAUAUAUAUAUAGAGUUGUGCUGGUAUGCUUAUGGAAGCACGGAGGCCUCCGUGCUUCCAAGUCGUUUUCGAUGUUCGGACUUUCGAAUCGACGAUCGGCUCCGUUAGAAUUGAUCUAGAGUAUUUGAAGUACCUAGAAAAUAAAUUUUGUGAUUUUUCGAUAUCAUUUGCCUAGUGAUCGAAGGGGCUCAAAAUCAAUAAUUUUAACGACUGUGGUGAGCCGGUUGCAAGUUUAACGGUGUAGAAAUAUCCAAAUCACAUAAAAUUUUGAUAGAAAAUUUUUUAUACCAUAUAAAAUAAGAUCAAUAACUUUGAUCUAAAGUUUUAAUGUCAUAUCAUCAUAUUUUGUAAGAUUUUUAUUUUCAGCCGUUGAUUUUGAGCCACUUUGAUCACUAGGCAAAUGAUGUCGAAAAAUCGUAAAAUUUAUUUUCUAGGUACUUCAAAUACUCUAGAUCAAGUCUAACGGAGCCGAUCGUCGAUUCGAAAGUCCCAACAUCGAAAACAACUUAGAAGCACGUGCUUCCAUAAGCAUACUAGCCGCUCUCUCUCUCUCUCUCUCUCUCUCUCUCUCUCUCUCUCUCUCUCUCUCUCUAUAUAUAUAUAUAUAUAUAUAUAUAUAUAUAUAUAUAUAUAGAAUGAGGCUACUAUGCUAUCGGAAGCACGGAGCCUUCUGUGCUUCCAGCUCGUUUUUGAUGUUGCGACUUUCGAAUCGUCGAUCAGCUCCGCUAAACUUGAUCUAGAGUAUUUGGAGUACCUAGAAAAUAAAUUUUAUUAUUUUUCCAU
rnacentral:lncRNA from 1 species